GCAAGACGGAAAGACCCCGUGAACCUUUACUAUAGCUUGACACUGAACAUUGAGCCUUGAUGUGUAGGAUAGGUGGGAGGCUUUGAAGCGUGGACGCCAGUCUGCGUGGAGCCAACCUUGAAAUACCACCCUUUAAUGUUUGAUGUUCUAACGUAGGCCCCUAAUCGGGGUUGCGGACAGUGUCUGGUGGGUAGUUUGACUGGGGCGGUCUCCUCCCAAAGCGUAACGGAGGAGCACGAAGGUUAGCUAAUCCUGGUCGGACAUCAGGAGGUUAGUGCAAUGGCAUAAGCUAGCUUGACUGCGAGCGUG
rnacentral:rRNA from 1 species